GUGUAAAUGGAAUAAAAAAAAAAAAAGAAGCAUCAUAGUACAUCUAUUGAAAUCGUUAAACCUAAUUAAAAUACCAAGAGGAUGCACAUCGAGAGAAACUGUCAAGGAGAUUCAACGUAAGACGACAAGAGAUUGGAAAGAGUUUCAAUUUCUAUUAUCUCAUGGCGACCAGACAAAUCAGAAAUAAUUAUAGUAAGCGUGAAACGCAACGAUAGAAAGAUGAAUAGAAAUCGAGAGCAAGCUGAAAGCUAUGCGCCGAUCCAUCGCUAGAGGGGAAAGGAAAAAAAAAAA